rnacentral:tRNA from 1 species
GGGGUUGUGGCUCAGUGGUAGAGCGCUUGUCUUGCGCAUAUGAGGCACUAGGUUUGAUCCUCAGCACCA